GACGAACGCUGGCGGCGUGCUUAACACAUGCAAGUCGAACGGAAAGGCUCCAGCUUGCUUGCGUACUCGAGUGGCGAACGGGUGAGUAACACGUGGGUAAUCUGCCCUUCACUCUGGGAUAAGCCUGGGAAACUGGGUCUAAUACUGGAUAUGACCUUUCUCCUUAUGGGGUUUGGUGGAAAGUUUUUCGGUGUAGGAUGAGCCCGCGGCCUAUCAGCUUGUUGGGGGGGUGAUGGCCUGCCAAGGCGACGACGGGUAGCCGGCCUGAGAGGGUGAUCGGCCACACUGGGACUGAGAUACGGCAGAGACUCCUACGGGAGGCAGCAGGCGGGAAUAUUGCACAAUGGGCGGAAGCCUGAUGCAGCGACGCCGCGUGAGGGAUGACGGCCUUAGGGUUGUAAACCUCUUUCAGCAGGGACGAAGCGUAAGUGACGGUACCUGCAGAAGAAGCACCGGCUAACUAUGUGC
rnacentral:rRNA from 1 species